rnacentral:lncRNA from 1 species
UGUUGUCAGCAGCAGCAGCAACAGUAUCCUAGCCUAAUCAAUCCUUCCAUCCAUCUUCUACUCAGGAUUAAUUACAAAUGGCUUAAUGAGAUUCAAGUUUUAUUGCAAGAACUUGGUCAAAGCAGAUUUCCAGUAUUCUGGGGCUCAUCGUGCCACUGACUACUGAAACAGACAUCCCAGGCUGGGCUUCUAAAGAACUCAGGAGGCAUCAUCUAAAACAUGGUAGCAGCUUAGAUGACAAAAGUGAGCCUUUCAAGAGGGGUUUUGCCCUUCAAGGCUGAAAAGUCAGUGACAGGACACACAUUUGGCUCCAGAAUCCUGUUUGUCUGCUGCAUGCUGCUACAAUCAUCUUGAAAUGUUCGGUGUGUCUGGAGAGUCGGCAGAAUGAAGAGCCUUCAUCCUUUGCUCAGUACAUUAUUCCCUGGGAAUGUGUUGCAGAUUCACAGGGCUGAUGUGAGAUCCCUAAUAUUGUGCCAACCUUAAAAUACUGUGCCA